GAUCUGGCUAUGACAUCUGUCACACCUUUGACUGCCGAUGGUUAAUUCCGGCUGAUCUGGCUAAACUGAACAGAUGUCUUCUUC
ensembl:misc_RNA 7SK 7SK RNA